AAGUUAUUAUAUCCUUAUUUUUUAUUAUAUUUUAUUUAGAAAUAGUUUACUAAGUAUUCAUUUAGAUUACCAUAUAAUUUACAGCAAUAAAUAUUUCUUUUAGCAGCAUAGUGGUCUUGAGAUGCAAUGCCUUUAUCUGUCUUCAGAAAUAAAGAUUUUAGUAGCCCAGCUGGUGUGAGUGCUGCAGGUAUCCAGUACUUAGCUAUCAACCCUCGUCAGAGAUUAACUCCAUGAUGCUUCAUGAUCACCUCAGCUGAAGAUCAUUGCCAAAGGUCAAUGACCCCAUCCCUUAUUGGUCCAUAUCCAGUGGUUGCUCUAGACGUGAGGAAAAAUACCCUGCUUUCUCAUCACAUCUUGGAACAGCUCUGAUGGGUCAUUCCAUCUUGAGCACUCCCUGCAGAGAUGGCUGAGCCAUUCCACUGAAACAGCAUUGCAGCCUUGACUUCUUUCUGUGACUGAUCCGGCUUCUUUCUUUGCUCAUGCACAGCUGUUAAUCCCAGGAGAAUUCCUUAAUAAACUCCCUGCUGUCUAUUUUCUGCCUCAGAAUCUACUUCUCAACGAAACCAUCAUGUAACAAGUUUCUCCACUGCAAGGUUACUUUGUUCCUGAUUUCUGUCCUCUACUCCUUGGAAUGAGGUCGCUAUGUGCAGCCCAUGUUGAAGAAGUGGAGAGUUAAGCUCCAACACUUUGAAGGUGUGGUGCCAAGGACUAUUGAAGCUCUCUCACUACCAGCCUAAAGAUAAGGCCAAUACCAAGUCUUCACAGAAUUAUCUCUAGCAAAUUACUUUUUGAAUAUUGUUUAAAAAGAAGAUUUCAAACCAGGGAGGAAAAAAAAGAUAUUUGAUAUUUGGAAUCAACAUCCUGACACCUGACAUAGGAAUUCAGGAGCAAGACUAAAAAUAAAAAUGUGACUAGUAUGAAUAUUUGGACAUCCUGACAGAAAAUUUGAGUACCAAAUAAUGUGUUAUACGGCAGGUCAUUUAUUUUAAUGAAGUUAAAACAUGGGUGAAUAGCCCUGAGUUAACAUCCGUCGCCAAUCCUCCUCUUUUUGCUGAGGAAGACAGGCCCUGAGCUAACAUCCAUGCCCAUCUUCCUCUACUUUAUACGUGGGAUGCCUGCCACAGCAUGGCUUGACAAGCAGUGCUAGGACCACAGCCUGGAUCGGAACUGGUGAACUCCGGGCCAGCGAAGUGGAACGGGCAAAUUUAACCGCUAUGCCACCGGGCUGGCCCUUGGUUUUUGUUUUUAAACAAGAGAAAUUCAAUAUAAAGAAUAAUUAAACUCUGAUAUAAGAGUGACUGUAGGACACAAAGAUGCUCUAUCUUGCACCCUAGGGUUUAAGGACGGUACCAAAGGAAAGACGAACUCAAAAGGGCCCCCUCCCCAAGGCUGAGGUUCAGACUUUGUUGCAGCAGGUAUACCUCAGCCUCAUCCCCUCAGAUAGCAGGCACAUUUGCUGGAUUUCCCCAGCUAGAGCUGAUUUGCUGUCACUGGGCAAGCAGAAAUCAGCCCUCUGGUGGGGUUCAGGUCAUCAGCAACUGGUAGCAUGAGUGUGCAGAGAGAGUGGCAGCUCAGAGGGAAGCCUCUGGGUAUUGGUAAGCCACACACAGGCCUGCAGAUGGAGUUGGGGUGCCAGAGUGUCCAGGAGGCCUUCAGGAUGCUGGUCUCCAUCGAGAGAGCCAUGGGAAGGGGAUCACCAGGCCAAGUAGAGGUCCUGGGCAUGAGGUUGGGUGCUCCCCCUCACCCAUGGACCUACUGUGCAGCAGGAACCCUUACUCCUGCAGUGUCCCUCCAGUGCGCAGUCCUGAGAAAGUUUCCCAUCAUGCUCACUGUGAAGAAGAGAUGCUCAAAGGAGUGCUGUCCAUUAGAGCAGAGCACGUGUGGAAGGUGCGCUUGGAGCUGAGAGGAAAGGCAUCGAUAUCUGGAAUACACAGUCACCUCAGGAACCCUAGGAAGCUAGAACUUGCAUUGUCCCUUUGCAUAGAGGAGUGGCUUUGGAAUGGAUCUAUCCUAGUUUAUAAAACUGAAAUUGUAUCAAUUUUAAAGUCAAAUAAUAAUUCAUACCCAAUGGUUUCAAUAUUUUCUGAGUGUUUAAGAAUUUUGGAAGUACUAAUUCUCCCCUUGCUACUCUCUCUCCCCAAUUAGCUUCUCCUCCCACAGGUUCAUACUAUUUUAUUAUUAGUUUCUAAGCUCUUUAGGACACCAAAGCUAUUUAUACUUCUCUGUGAUUUUCUUAAACACUCUACAAAAGGAAUAAAAAAUGAAUUGUGCUCCU
ensembl:lncRNA